rnacentral:rRNA from 1 species
ACUCCUACGGGAGGCAGCAGUGGGGAAUCUUGCGCAAUGGGCGAAAGCCUGACGCAGCCAUGCCGCGUGAAUGAUGAAGGUCUUAGGAUUGUAAAAUUCUUUCACCGGGGACGAUAAUGACGGUACCCGGAGAAGAAGCCCCGGCUAACUUCGUGCCAGCAGCCGCGGUAAUACGAAGGGGGCGUAGCGUUGCUCGGAAUUACUGGGGCGUAAAGGGAGCGUAGGCGGACAUUUAAGUCAGGGGUGAAAUCCCGGGGGCUCAACCUCGGAAUUGCCUUUUGAUACUGGAUGUCUUGAGUGUGAGAGAGGUAUGUGGAACUCCGAGUGUAGAGGUGAAAUUCGUAGAUAUUCGGAAGAACACCAGUGGCGAAGGCGACAUACUGGCUCAUUACUGACGCUGAGGCUCGAAAGCGUGGGGAGCAAACAGGAUUAGAUACCCUGGUAGGCUACCG